rnacentral:rRNA from 1 species
CAGCAGCCGCGGUAAUACGGAGGGGGCUAGCGUUGUUCGGAAUUACUGGGCGUAAAGCGCACGUAGGCGGUUUGACAAGUUUGGUGUGAAAUCUAUGGGCUCAACCCAUAGCCUGCAUCGAAAACUGUCGGGCUUGAGUAUGGGAGAGGUGAGUGGAAUUUCCGGUGUAGCGGUGAAAUGCGUAGAUAUCGGAAGGAACACCUGUGGCGAAAGCGGCUCACUGGAUCAUUACUGACGCUGAGGCGCGAAAGCUAGGGGAGCAAACAGGAUUAGAUACCCGCGUAGUCCCUGUCUCUUAUAC